UGUGAGCACCAUUCUGCAUAGCUCUGCCAGGUUCUGCAUCAGCCUGUGUUAACAUCAGAAAAACCUUGCAGACAAACUGUGCUUCACCUUCCAUGGGUAUUUUGGAAGACAUAAUCGGGAGCAAAAUUGUGGCAUCCAUUUGGGAAUUUGCUGUGUUUAUUACUCUGAUAUUUGCAUGCCCUGUCCCUUAACAUCGCUGACAAAUGGCCAUAUCAGUGAUCUCUCUGUUACUUUGCACCUUUCAAGAGGAGUCCCUGGAUGCCAUUGAUAAAGGAGCAGCUGUUUCUGGUUGCUGGCUUAGAGGCAUCCAAUAGAUCAGCAGUGUAUGAAACAGCAAGGACAACUAAACAAGCUGGGUGAUUUUUCUGCACUAAAAAUAAACAGUGAAUAAACAUUUACAUUUAA